UGCUAGUCGAGCGAGUUCAGACUCGCGGCGCAUAGCUCAGUAACACGUGGCCAAGCUCCCCUUCAGUCAGCGAUACCCUCGGGAAACUGAGGCUAAUAGCUGAUACUCGACGCCAGCUGGAAUGCGGCGUCGUCGAAAGACAUCGCUGAAGGAUGCGGCUGCGGCCGAUUAGGUAGACGGUGGGGUAACGGCCCACCGUGCCAGUAAUCGGUACGGGUGAUGAGAGUCAGAGCCCGGAGACGGAAUCUGAGACAAGAUUCCGGGCCCUACGGGGCGCAGCAGGCGCGAAACCUUUACACUGCACGGAAGUGCGAUAGGGGAAUCCCAAGUGCGAGGGCAUAUUAGCCCUCGCUUUUGUUGACUGUAAGGUGGUCAACGAAUAAGAGCUGGGCAAGACCGGUGCCAGCCGCCGCGGUAAUACCGGCAGCUCAAGUGAUGUCCCAUAUUAUUGGGCCUAAAGCGUCCGUAGCUGGCCAACCAAGUCCAUCGGGAAAUCCACCCGCCCAACGGGUGGGCGUCCGGUGGAAACUGGCUGGCUUGGAACCGGAAGGCUCAGAGAGUACGUCCGGGGUAGGAGUGAAAUCCCGUAAUCCCGGACGGACUACCGAUGGCGAAAGCACUCUGAGAAGACGGCUUCGACAGUGAGGGACGAAAGCUAGGGUCUCAAACCGGAUUAGAUACCCGGGUAGUCCUAGCUGUAAACGAUGCUCGUUAGGUGUGGCACCCACUACGAGUGGGUGCUGUGCCGU
rnacentral:rRNA from 1 species